rnacentral:tmRNA from 1 species
GGGGGCGAAAAGGUUUCGACGAGGGUAGUUGAAGUUAAGGUUGCAGGCCGAGUUCCCACGGACUCGUUAAACAGUGGGAAAAAACUAAACGCAGACAGAAAUGCUCUGCCUCUAGCCGCUUAAGGCUAGCGUCUUAUCCUUCUAAUGCCUACGGGAAGGAAUAAGGUGUCAUAUUAGUGGGCUGGCUUCGAUUCUUACUCCUGAGAGGAAAAGAGGCGAGAUUUUACUCAGGACGGUGGUCUCAAGAAUCCUGCCUGUGGGAGGCUGGGGCGACCGAAACUAAAACUACAGGCUAAGCAUGUAGGAUACCUUAAGCUGAAGACUCUCGGACGCGGGUUCGAUUCC